rnacentral:rRNA from 1 species
AUUGAACGCUGGCGGCAGGCCUAACACAUGCAAGUCGAGCGAGAGGCGGACGGGUGUGUAAUGUAUGGGGACUGCCCGCGAGAGGGGGAUAACUACUGGAAACGGUAGCUAAUACAGCAUACUAUCGGAUUGCCCCUAUGGGAGUAGCUCGUAGGUGGGGUAAUGGCUCACCUAGGCGACGAUCGCUAGCUGGGCUGAGAGGAUGAUCAGCCACACUGGGACUGAGACACGGCCCAGACUCCUACGGAGGCAGCAGUGGGGAAUAUUGCACAAUGGGCGCAAGCCUGAUGCAGCCAUGCCGCGUGUAUGAAGAAGGCCCUAGGGUUGUAAAGUACUUUCAGUCGGGAGGCGUUACCGACAGAAGAAGCACCGGCUAACUCCGUGCCAGCAGCCGCGGUAAUUC